GGCCCCGUCGUCUAGCCCGGUCUAGGACGCCAGGUUUUCAUCCUGGAAACACGGAUUCAAAUUCCGUCGGGGUCA
rnacentral:tRNA from 1 species